AAGAAAUUAGCUUAAUAGGUAGAGCAUCUGUUUUACACAUAGAAGGUUAAGUGUUCAAAUCACUUAUUUUUUA